rnacentral:sRNA from 1 species
AGAAAAGGGUAAUCUGUAUAACCAACAACGGGAUCCUGUGUAUAAAAGGUAGACCUGUCAUACCUGUUCAAUGGUGCGUCAAGCUCAAACCUCCUCGGCAAGUCAGGGUUAGCCAAGAAGAGCCUCCCGUAGGCGACGAGAUCGGCAUAGCCAUCAGCCACCACCUUGUUCCCUUCCUCCCGGUCAUACCCGCCAGCAGCGAUGAAAGUGCCAUUGAACUGCUUCCUGAAUGGCAGGAGACCAUGGGUGAUCUUCCUCCGUCCUUCGACGAUGGCCAUUCCUGGCUCCACCAUGUGGCAGUAGAGAAAGCCUGGGUGCUUGUUGAGUUGCUGCACCAUGUAUGAGCCGAGAGCUACCGGGUUGGAGUCGAAGCAGUCCAUGUAGUUGUCGAAUGGCGAUAAUCUGAUUCCAACACGGUGCGCUCCCACCUCGGCGACGACGGCAUCGAUCACCUCGACGGCGAAGCGGCACCGGUUCUCGAGGUUGCCACCGUACUCGUCGGUGCGGUCGUUGGCGCUGUCCUUCAUGAACUGGUCGAGGAGGUAGCCGUGCGCGCCAUGGAUCUCCACGCCGUCGAACCCCGACUCGAUGGCGUUCCGCGCGGCUCGCCUGAAGUCGUCGACGAUCUGAGGGAUCUCGUCUGUCCGGAGCCGCCGGGGCUUGGAGUACACCAUGCCUGAAUCGUCCGGUGUGAUCUGCUUAUCGGUGCUCGAGAUCGGCGCCUCAAGUGGACGAACCUGUGGUGGAGACCCUGCCGACGUGCCAUAUCUGUAGGAAGAAGAGGGCGCCCUUGCGGUGGACGGCGUCGACGAUGGGUUUCCACGCUUCGAUCUGCUGCUGCGUGUAGAUGCCGGGGGUGUCCGGGUAGCCCUGCGCGGUGGGGGAGAUGACAGUGGCCUCCGCGAUGAGGAGUCCGCCGUUGGUGGCGCGCUGCGAGUAGUACACCGCGGCGUGCGGCUGCGGCACGUGGCCGUAGGAGCGGCACCGCGUCAGCGGCGCGAGCACCACCCGGUGGGACAGCUCCAGCUGCCCCAUCUUGUACGGCGUCAGCAGCGG